GCGGCGCAUUGAGCCACACUGUCUCACUCGGGCGGUGGCUGCAAGGUUCCGAACCUUCUUGGUUGGAGCAACCUGUAAUUCAGGUACAGCACCGGAUUGGGGAAUUGAUUAACACCAGAUUCAGGCCAUGAGCUCGUCUAUGCGUAUCCAGUGACUGUGGGCACGUGUCUCCUAGAACGUAUCGACUAGGAUCAGGCAAUUCAGCUCCUCCAACCUGCUCCAUUUGGUCAGGAUCUGUCAAGCUGCUCAUCGUCUGGCUGAAAAGGUAUGGCUGAUUCUGCAUGCCAAGAAUCUGGUACCCAGAUUAUCCUAAGGACCUGAGUAAAGGAAGAUUUGCUGCUAGAUGUGAACAAUCUUUGGAUGUAUGACUCCACAAAUGUUCAGAUAUUUGAUCAGUAUUGUGCAAGGACAAAACUGAUGGAAGAUUCUUGUGACUCCAGAUGAAGUUUGGCUUUGGACCAAUCUUGUGCACCAGGGGCAAGAACUAUUAUGGCAUUAAUCAGACAGUGUGGAAACAGACCCUCCAGUCUGUCAGUUCAACCAGUCCAUGCUGACCAUGUGCCCAAACUAAACUAGUUCCUACCUACUUUAAUCUCAAGUUGUAGGAUCUGGGAUCAUUGCAGCACCAGUGAGGGAGCUGCAUCAAUUGGAGGUUCAGAUGACAUGGUGAAAUGAGAUUUUAUGGUAUCAAGUGGCCUUAAACAAAUGGCUUCUGCAGAAAGGAUCUAAAAGCACAAGUAUCUCUUUAAAGGAAAGGCUUCUGAGGAACUCGAGUGGGAUAUUACAAUCUGGACAGGUGAAAGGAUGCCAAUCAAGAUUGGACUAAUUCCUGUAAUGUUGUAACAAACAGCAAAUAUAAAAUAAAGUGGAAAUGAAACCAAA